rnacentral:lncRNA from 1 species
UUUGAUCUUCAAUAUCCUAAAUUUUUUCUUAAGUUAUUAAAGCAAAAAGAAAAUAACUUUACAUCAAUCGUUGUAGAAUCAAGACUAAUAUAAGGUAAGUUAGUGGUAAACUUCUAAAUUUAUAUUUUUAAUUAAUAGUUUAAUUUUAAUUUGUAGUUUCAAUAUUGAUGUAAUUUUUUUCUUAUUUUGAUAUAUAGAUGAAUCAAGGAAAUUUUAUACAUCCUAGACCAAUUGAGUAUGAUGUUUUAACGUUAUAACAAGAUCAUCGAUCUGAAAAAAUCUAAAAUGGUGAAAUAACUGCGAAGGAUACACAUUUAACAGUGCACCGAUAUGAUCAUGAAUUAUUGCAACACAUACUAAAUAAUUCACGUCAUCGUUGUGUACUAAAUUAUUUUAAUUACACGGAUUUUAGAGGUGUUCAUGAAGUAGGAUACAUUCCGUGCGAUACCAGCAUUAUUACUACUUUGAUUGAAAGGUGACGGCCACAAACUCAUACCUUUCAUAUGAGUACUGGUGAAACAACAAUAACUAUGCAGGACAUGAAAAUUAUGUUCGGCAUGAUUGUUGAUGGUACACUGAUUCUUCUAAAAAACGUUAAAUUCAUAGAUUUGGUUACUAUAAAAAAUUAAAUUUAUGAUUUAACCGGUUGGUUUCCUCCACAAAAUUGUUUUCAAGGGUAUAUAAUUUUUUUUAUCAUCAUUAAUUAAUUAUAUAAAAAAUUCAAAUGAAAUAAUCAAUAAUUCCACUGAUGUAGAGGUACUACAAAAAUUUAGAUUGUACUUAUUUUGGUUGCUCAGAGGAACAUUAUUUCCUGAAGGAAAUUUACUUAUGAUUUUUUUUAAUUGAAAUGAGUGACAUACAUGUAUUAGCAACACAAGCUUGGGGAGCUACCACACUUUCUUACUUGUAUCAUUCAUUAUGUGGUGAAGUAAGAAAGUGUGGCAGCUUCCCAAGCUUGUGUUGCCAUUGCAUGUAUGCUACUCAUUUCAAUAAAAAAAAAUCAUAAGUAAAUUUACUUCCUGAUUUAUUAGGAAAUAAUGUUCCUCUGAGCAACCAGAAUAGGGAGAAUCUAACUUUUUGUAGUACCUCUACAUCACUGGAAUUAUCGGUUAUUUCAUUUGAAUUUUCUAUAUAAUUAAUUAAUGAUGAUGAACAAAUUAUAUACCCUUGAAAGUAAUUUUGUGGAGAAAUCCAACUAGUUAAAUUAUAAAUUAAAUUUUAUCUUGUAACCAAUCUAUGAAUUUAGCUUUUUUUAGAAGGGUGUACCAUCAACAACCACAUCAAACAUAACUUCCAUGUCCUGCAUAAUUAUUAUUGUUUCACCAGUUCUAAUAUGAAAUAUAUGAGUUUCUGGCCACCACCUUUCAAUCAAAGCAGUAAUAGUCGGCAUUGCACAGAAUGUGUCCUACUUCAAGAACACCUCUAAAACCUGUGUAAUUAAAACAAGUUAAUAUACGAGGAUGAAGUGGAUUAUUUUGUAUGUGUUUCCAAAAUUCAUGAUCAUGUCGGCACAUUGUUAAAUGUGCAUCCAUCGUAGUUAUUUCACCAUUUCAGAUUUUUUCAGACUGAUGAUCUUGUUGUAACGUUAAAACAUCAUACUCAAUUGGUUUUAGAUGUAUAAAUUUCCUUGAUUCAUCUAUAUAUCAAAAUGAGAAAAAUAAAUUACAUCUGUAUUGAUGCUACAAAUUAAAAUUAAAUCAUAAUUAAAAAUAUAAAUUUAAAAAUUUACCAUUUAAUUACCUUAUAUUAGUCUUGAUUCUACAAAGGAUUGAUGUAAAGUUAUUUUUUUACUUUGAUAACUUAAGAAAAGAUUUAGGGUAUAGAAGAUUUAGAUUUAAAUAUUUAUAUAUUUUGGGAUGAGCUAAUAUUAAGAAUUUGAAUAAAUAAAAGAUUAUUUUCUAGAAUAAAUAAUAAUAAAAAUUGAGCCGGGUGUAUUUUUAGAUCAAAAGCUGAAAUGAGGGGCAUCUUUGAACUAAAAACAAAGAUGCUGAAUAUUUUUAGACCAAAAAAUGGAAGGAGAGUAAUUAUUUACUUGUGUCCAGGGGCGGAGCUAGCAUAUAGUUAGGAGGUUCAUCUGAACCCCAUUCGGCGGAAAAUAUUACUAUUUAUAUAUGGUUAACAUUAUUUUUUAUGUAUACAUAGUAGAUGUCGAACCCCCUUCGAUUAGUUUGUGGUUUACUUCUUCAGAUUUUGAACCCCUUAUUAAAAAUCCUAGCUCCAUCAUUGCUUGUGUCACGUUUAAAUAGGUACGAACAUAUGAUGUCAUCCUUCUAUUUGCUUGAGCAUAAAUUCUUUCUUCUAUUAUGUUUUUUUUUUUGUUUUGUUUCAUAUAUAUUUGAAUUUGAUGAUGUAUAAUUAUAUCAAGUUGCUUCUUUUUUUAUACACAGUUGUGGCUUGAUAUUUGGUGACUGCAACAUGAACUUCUUCAUCGAACAAUGUUUGAUUAUAAAGAUUUAUAUGUUAAGCUAUACAUCAGAGCAACGAAAUCUUAGUAGGUUAGUUGGUGGCCCUGAACUUUUAUCUUAUUUUGAUUCCCCAUUAUAAUUAACCACCUCCUUUAUUUUCCGUUUCCUUAUCGCCAAUUAAUAAAAAAUGAUAAGUCAUAUAUACUCCCUCCAUUCUACUUUGGUUACCUUAUUUACAAUUUCUUCUGUGUCAAUCAGUAUGAUAUAUUUUGCAUUUCGAAACUCAAACGAUUAUAUUUUCAUAUGGCUUAUGAAUAUGAAGUGCUGGUGAUUGUAAUUUAUAAAUUUUUUUACAUAAUUUUCAAAUAUGUAGAUUUUAUUUUAAGACAUUUUAAUAUUACGUACUAUCAAAAUUAAGAAUUUUUCUUCUUUAAUGUUUUUUCUGAAAAUAUUUUUCAAAUGUAUAUAUUAAUUUUAUUUCCAAUAAUUUGAAGAAUCUAUGUCCAAAAAUUAAAUGUAAUUUGACCCUCGUACUGGGAACCACACCAAACAAUGUGGAAUGGUAGGAGUAACUAAUAAAGAACAUACCAUGUGAUUUAAGUUUUUUUGUUGGUUAUCCUUCCAGUGCUCAGAUUAAUGUGGAUUCACGUCGAAAAAUUUCAAUUUUUUUUGAUACUUUUGCAUGUUGAGGUUGAUCAGAUGUGUGACCACAAAGUUUAUUGUUAUGAUGCAGGUAGAUUGUUGAAAGAAUUAGCUAUCACGGAGUACAUGCAGAAGCAAAAUAUUAGAACAAAAGUAUAUAAAGUUUUUGGAAGAGCUCGCAACUCAUUUGCUAUCCUUACCAUUUCAUCGCAACAAUAAAAGAGUUGCGAUGUUUAAUUACUCUCUUCAUCUCAAUUUAUGUGACAUCAUUUGACCGGAUACGAAGUUUAAAAAUAAGGGAAGACUUGGUUAUGCUACCCAAUUGUCCUUACUAAAGUUGCCUUAAUGCUUACUUUUAGUUGAGUUUUCUUCUCAAUAAAGUCUGAAUGACAGCAAAAUAGUAAUCAAAAGUGCAUACAUGUCUGUGAAUCCUACAAUAUAUAUUUCACCAC